GCUUAGCCCUAAACUCAGAUGAAAACCUAUACAAAUUCAUCCGCCAGGGUACUACAAGCGCUAGCUUAAAACCCAAAGGACUUGACGGUGUCUCAGACCCACCUAGAGGAGCCUGUUCUAGAACCGAUAAUCCCCGUUAAACCUCACCAUCCCUUGUCUUUUCCCGCCUAUAUACCGCCGUCGCAAGCUUACCCUGUGAAGGGCUUACAGUAAGCAAAAUGGGCCAACCCCAGAACGUCAGGUCGAGGUGUAGCUCACGAGAUGGAAAGAAAUGGGCUACAUUUUCUAUUACAGAAUAUUCACGAACGGUACCAUGAAACCUAGUACCCGAAGGUGGAUUUAGCAGUAAAAAACAAACAGAGCGUGUUUUUGAACCAGGCUCUGAGACGCGC
rnacentral:rRNA from 1 species